rnacentral:rRNA from 1 species
UACGUAGGGGGCAAGCGUUGUCCGGAAUCAUUGGGCGUAAAGAGCGCGUAGGCGGCCCUGUAAGUCCGCUGUGAAAGUCAAGGGCUCAACCCUUGGAUGCCGGUGGAUACUGCAGGGCUAGAGUCCGGAAGAGGCGAGUGGAAUUCCUGGUGUAGCGGUGGAAUGCGCAGAUAUCAGGAGGAACACCAAUAGCGAAGGCAGCUCGCUGGGACGGUACUGACGCUGAGGCGCGAAAGCGUGGGGAGCGAACAGG